GCCUGGCUGGCUCAGUUGGUACAGCAUAUGGCUUUUGAUCUCAGGGUCAUGAGUUCAAGCCCCAUGUUGGGCA
rnacentral:tRNA from 1 species